GUUUGAAGUCAAUUUAGCAGUUAGUUUUUUUCCUCCGCCCCCAGCCCUACACAAGCAUACGGAAAUCACCAAAACUCCAGCUGCUCAUUAUCCGUGUGGCUGCGUAUGAAAACCUCUCCACGUUGACUUUAAGCUAGCAGUAGAAGAGCUCAACGCCGGCGGCCACGCAGGAUCAGAUGCUCGCGAUUGGAGUUAGCGACAGUCUUCUCCGCGGAGGCAAGGAUUAAACGAUGGUGAGCUACUAAGGCCUCGUACCUCGGGGGCAUGUGAGAAGUUAAUCAAAUGUGUUGGAAGUUUAUUUAUAUGCUCCUGGGGUCAUGGACACGUUAGGAAUGACAAUAGCUUCCCUCUAAAUAACCUUGCAAUACUCCCUGUACAUUUGCUAAGGAGCUAGCUAACUAACCAGUUAACUCGUGUACUACAUCAAAACAUAACCUUCGUG